rnacentral:pre_miRNA from 1 species
UCUCAGCUACAUCGGUGUAAAUCCAGGGCAAUUCUACUGAGGUUCACACCAGAGUAACUGGGAUC